rnacentral:rRNA from 1 species
UACGUAGGUGGCAAGCGUUGUCCGGAUUUACUGGGCGUAAAGAGCGCGCAGGCGGUCGUUCAAGUCGCGUGUGAAAGCCCCCGGCUCAACUGGGGAGGGUCACGCGAUACUGAUCGACUGGAAGGCAGGAGAGGGUAGUGGAAUUCCCGGUGUAGUGGUGAAAUGCGUAGAUAUCGAGAGGAACACCAGUGGCGAAGGCGGCAUCCUGGACCGACAUUGACGCUGAGGAGCGAAAGCUAGGGGAGCAAACGGG